GUGCUCAAUUUAGCAGCACACGAACUAAAAUUGAAACAGUACAGAGACUAGCAUGGCCCCUACAGUGACAAGCAAUCUGUGAAGCACCCCGUAUUUUU
ensembl:snRNA LOC120098671 U6 spliceosomal RNA